rnacentral:miRNA from 1 species
AAGAACUGUAAUAGAUUAUCAUCUCUCUCUCUCUCUCUCUCUCUCUCUGUCUCUGUCUCUGUCUCUCUCUCUCUCUGUCUCUGUCUCUCUCUCUCUCUCUCUGUGUGUGUGUGUGUGUGUGUGUGUGAGAGAGAGAGAGAGAGAGAGAGAGAGAGAGAUGGAAAGCAACAUUUUUAUA